GUGCUUGCUUUGGCAGCACAUAUACUAAAAUUGGAAUGAUGCAGAGAAGAUUAGUAUGGCCCCUGCACAAGGAUGACACAAAAAUUCAUGAUGGAUUGAUAGAUAGAU